rnacentral:rRNA from 1 species
AGUGAACGCUGGCGGCAGGCCUAACACAUGCAAGUCGAGCGGAUGAAGGGAGCUUGCUCCUGGAUUCAGCGGCGGACGGGUGGGCAAUGCCUAGGAAUCUGCCUGGUAGCGGGGGAGAACGUGCGGAAACGGGCGCUAAUACCGCAUACGCGCAGAGGGAGAAAGGGGGGGAGCUUCGGACCUCACGCUAUCAGAUGAGCCUAUGUCGGAUUAGCUAGUUGGUGGGGUAAAGGCCUACCAAGGCGACGAUCCGUAACUGGUCUGAGAGGAUGAGCAGUCACACUGGAACUGAGACACGGUCCAGACUCCUACGGGAGGCAGCAGUGGGGAAUAUUGGACAAUGGGCGAAAGCCUGAUCCAGCCAUGCCGCGUGUGUGAAGAAGGUCUUCGGAUUGUAAAGCACUUUUAGUUGGAAAGAAGAGCAGUAGGUUAAUACCUUGCUGUUUUGACGUUACCAACAGAAUAAGCACCGGCUAACUUCGUG